rnacentral:rRNA from 1 species
AGUGAACGCUGGCGGUAGGCCUAACACAUGCAAGUCGAACGGCAGCACAGUAAGAGCUUGCUCUUACGGGUGGCGAGUGGCGGACGGGUGAGGAAUACAUCGGAAUCUACUUUUUCGUGGGGGAUAACGUAGGGAAACUUACGCUAAUACCGCAUACGACCUACGGGUGAAAGCAGGGGAUCUUCGGACCUUGCGCGAUUGAAUGAGCCGAUGUCGGAUUAGCUAGUUGGCGGGGUAAAGGCCCACCAAGGCGACGAUCCGUAGCUGGUCUGAGAGGAUGAUCAGCCACACUGGAACUGAGACACGGUCCAGACUCCUACGGGAGGCAGCAGUGGGGAAUAUUGGACAAUGGGUGCAAGCCUGAUUCAGCCAUACCGCGUGGGUGAAGAAGGCCUUCGGGUUGUAAAGCCCUUUUGUUGGGAAAGAAAAGCAGCAGGUUAAUACCCCGCUGUUCUGACGGUACCCAAAGAAUAAGCACCGGCUAACUUCG